rnacentral:snoRNA from 1 species
UUUGUACAUAAGAGGAAAGUUUUUCACUUACAUGCUAUCUUGACCAAAUGAGUGGAGUUUGAUAGUAAUCCUUACUACAUGU